rnacentral:lncRNA from 1 species
CAAGUUCCUUAAAGCACUGACACUGAGCAGAAAUGGCUUUGCAGCACAGACAGCAAAUGGAAAGACUUGCAGAUUUCUGCUUUAAUGGGAAGAGUAAUGAUGCCUUUGAUAGUGUGGCAUACAGAAAAUGAAUUAAGGGUGUUUUGUCAUCAUCUCAUACUUUGAAAGAAUAAUGCCCCUUUGGCUAAAUUUCAUGUUAGCAAUGGAUCUCAUUUACUUUACUGUUGCAAUUUCUGUGGCUCUAAAAUAAAAGUUAGAUGAAUUCAUUGGACACUAACUUUGAUGUCCAUAUUUUAAAUCUGCAGAUUCUGCUGAGGUCCAAAUGGCUUUGAAUCUCUUGUUUCCAACUAUGCUGUGAUCGCACUGUUUAUCUUCUUAAAACCAUGAGUGUUAAAUACCUGAGGUCAUUGGGAGAACUAAAUCAAGGUACUGAGCAUUUAUCCUUUCAACUAGUGUUACAGACAUAGGUCUCAAAAAAGACUCACUAAGUAGUAUGGACUUUAGGAGCUGGUAUUUCUAUGUUAUUACAGUUACAAAUCAACAGUUUCUAUACUAUGUAACACAAUUCCGGUGAAAUACAAUGUAAGAUAGCUAUUCCUUCAAUAUGGCACCAACGUUUAGUGCAUGGAGCACAUGCUUUUUGUUCCAGACUUUCUCUCCUUGUGUUUUUCUUGUUGGUAGCCUUCCUUAGAAUUUAUUUAGUUUCAGUUCACUGAUGAUGCAUCGGGUUCUUUGCCAUCCCUGCAGGCUCAAGUCUCUGAAGACGCUGAUGUCAUUACAGUCAAAUUUCUCAUUCCAAACCUAAUCCCAAGCACUCAUCGUCUACAGUGGAGGCCCUGAUGGGAAGAAAGAAAGGACUCAAGGCUACUUAAACAUUUCACCCUAAGCAAAGCAAAUCAAUAAUAGAAGGAAACCAACAAGGAUGCCUUGUGCACAGAUUUCAAAGGAAGAGCAGAUACGUGGAAACAGGUUUAAGACAACCGCACAACACAGGGGUGAGGCCACUGGUGUUGGCGCAUGGUCAUCAUUGAGAGUGGAAGAAGACCAGCACGAGCAGCCUUUCCUUAAGGAGAUGAACGGUUUCCAGAUCUUCACUGAAAAGGUACCGGGGAAGGUGUUCUAGCCAAGAAGUCAGGCUGGCGUUUGCAUUCUCAGGUACUGCUCAUUCCCGCCCCCUGUGCAGCCAUUAGUUUGAUGUGCAAGAGUGUACGUGCAGCUAAUUGUUUCUCUCAUAUGACUGGGGUUUGGCGACCGCCGUCUGCACCUGCUUCACGGGAAGCAGG